UGCAUGAACAGCAUGGGGAAGGGUGGAAAUACUUAGGAAACAUAAAAGACAUUAAAUGCUUCUUUGCAUGCAAGAGAGAGAAGCUUCUCAUGCAAUCCAAUAUCUGAUUUUCGUCCAUCUUCUUGGCAAGCAAAGAAACCUCUUAUUUUGGGCUCUUAAUGGAUUUGUAACUUCAUAAAUUUGGGCUGGCUUUGAUGUCUAACUUCUUGGGCCUUCUUCCUGGCCUAAACAUAAGUCCAAACCUCAUUUAAGGGCCUCCACGUUCUGCCCCAAAUCUACUAGCUUCUCUCGAUCCAAAACUUCAUAGAUCAAUCCAAUUAGGCCUUGAAAAUGCCCAUUAAACCAAACCAUGAUCAAUGGCUUAGUUGGUUCAUGCCAUGCUUUCAUACCUUGGACUUUGAUACUGGUCAGGAUCAUAUCAUACUCUUCCUCUUGAAAAGGAUUUGUCCUCAAAUCCGAACUUUCUAUGAUGAUAGAACCGACCUUGUGUAGAUUCAUUGCGGUUGUAGUUUUGACCAAGGUGCUGUUAUGGCUUUUGCGCAUGCACACAUUUUCUCCUGGCUCAAAGACAAAGUGUUGCAGUCCAUCUUCACACCUCAGUAGCUCAACUGGACUGUUCUCGUUGCAAACCAGUGGCUGGAUCAACUCAUAACAUGAAAUUGAACCUUGAAUUUCAGUUGACUUGUUAGCCAUUGAAUGUUCUUUUUCUUCAGCUUCUUCUGAUCCAAUGAAUUCUGAUUCUUCAGCCACGUAUUGGAUUGGCAAGAUAACACUUUCAGCAUGUUGUGUAUCUUCUUGAUGCAGCUGGUCGUCCAUAGAGUCUCUUUGAUCAAAAACAGUUGGUUUUGGUUCAGUGACCACUUGACGAGAUCCUCCCAAAGAUCGACACUCUGAAAUUGGUAAUAGAUAAACCUUGCACCGAAUGAGCCCGAAAGCAACAAACGAUCAAGGGAUGUGGAUCGAAAGGUGACAUAAGAGGUGCGGAAAAUCUCUUGAUACUACCCUAUAAUGGCCGCCUUUAGAUAUGACACACUAGAUUAAACCAAGUUAGAUUGAAGGAAAUCACAUACCAACAAUCAGAAAUGAUUCAACAAGUUUAAAGAGGAAGAUUUUUAUUAAAAAAGGUUCAGUGUCUUUGACCUCUUGAUUGGAAACGAAUGUUGAUGGAAGUGGGGCUGUGAUCCUUUGAUGGAUACCCUCCUUGAAAGACUGUAGCCAUCUCUCCAAGCCUUCAUUUCGCUUCUUUUCAUUUCUGGUCGAAAUUGCUUUCUCAAUUGCUUUCGAAGGUGAGUGUUGCUCUAUCUUCUUCCUUUGAUUCCUGAAUUGAUGCAUCUGGCUCUUUCUCAUAUUCCUGGACUGAUGCAUCUCUUGGCGUAAGGAAUCAAGUCUGGAGUCCAACUUUUUCUCCAUUAUGGCCAUGACAGAUUCAAUCAGAAACUCGAUGUUUUGAUUAUUGCAAGACUUCUCUUCAUGCUCAGACAUGAUUCUCCAACUUUCAGAAUGUGCUCUGAUACCACUUGACGAGAUCCUCCCAAAGAUCGACACUCUGAAAUUGGUAAUGGAUAAACUUUGCACCGAAUGAGCCCGAAAGCAACAAACGAUCAAGGGAUGUGGAUCGAAAGGUGACACAAGAGGUGCGGAAAGUCUCUUGAUACUACCCUAUAAUGGCCGCCUCUAGAUAUGACACACUAGAUUAAACCAAGUUAGAUUGAAGGAAAUCACAUACCAACAAUCAGAAAUGAUUCAACAAGUUUAAAGAGGAAGAUUUUUAUUAAAAAAGGUUGAAUGAUUAGAAAUGAAACAUACAAGAGUUUAAAUAGAAAACAACAAGCUAUGCAUGACCAGCAUAGAGAAAUGUAGAAAUAAUACUAGGGAAAAUAAAACCACUUGCAUGAACAGCAUGGGGAAGGGUGGAAAUACUUAGGAAACAUAAAAGACAUUAAAUGCUUCUUUGCAUGCAAGAGAGAGAAACUUCUUAUGCAAUCCAAUAUCUGAUUUUCGUCCAUCUUCUUGGCAAGCAAAGAAACCUCUUAUUUUGGGCUCUUAAUGGAUUUGUAACUUCAUAAAUUUGGGCUGGCUUUGAUGUCUAACUUUUUGGGCUUUCUUCCUGGCCUAAACAUAAGCCCAAACCUCAUUUAAGGGCCUCCACGUUCUGCCCCAAAUCUACUAGCUUCUCUCGAUCCAAAACU
rnacentral:lncRNA from 1 species